UUUAUCUACCAGAACUGGGCCCGGGUCAACCCUCUAAUUCCGCCAACUUUGUUGUAAUGACAACUCGAACAGCCGGGAGCAUUGUAUGGAGAUGAACUAUGGAGCUUCCCGCGGUCAGAUUGAUUCCCCUGCUGGUACAAACGUCCCUUCCUGUGUUCCAGAAAGCGCUGAGGUCCACAUUUUGGGAAGAGCCAACAUUGGAGAAGCUCUCUGGCAUUUGAGAAUUGUUUUUAAUAAAUGCACUGUCUGCAAUGUUA